rnacentral:rRNA from 1 species
GAUGAACGCUGGCGGCGUGCUUAACACAUGCAAGUCGAACGGAAAGGCCCAAGCUUGCUUGGGUACUCGAGUGGCGAACGGGUGAGUAACACGUGGGUGAUCUGCCCUGCACUUCGGGAUAAGCCUGGGAAACUGGGUCUAAUACCGGAUAGGACCACUUCUUGGAUGUUGUGGUGGAAAGUUUUUUCGGUGUGGGAUGAGCUCGCGGCCUAUCAGCUUGUUGGUGGGGUAAUGGCCUACCAAGGCGUCGACGGGUAGCCGGCCUGAGAGGGUGUACGGCCACAUUGGGACUGAGAUACGGCGCAGACUCCCACGGGAGGCAGAAGUGGGGGAUAUUGCACAAUGGGCGCGAGCCUGAUGCAGCGACGCCGCGCGGGGGAUGACGGCCUUCGGGUUGUAAAAUCCUUUCGCUAGGGACGAAGCGUUUUGUGACGGUACCUGGAGAAGAAGCACCGGCUAACUACGUG